GAUGGACGCUGGCGGCGUGCCUAAUACAUGCAAGUCGAGCGAACAGACGAGGAGCUUGCUCCUCUGACGUUAGCGGCGGACGGGUGAGUAACACGUGGAUAACCUACCUAUAAGACUGGGAUAACUUCGGGAAACCGGAGCUAAUACCGGAUAAUAUAUUGAACCGCAUGGUUCAAUAGUGAAAGACGGUUUUGCUGUCACUUAUCGAUGGAUCCGCGCCGCAUUAGCUAGUUGGUAAGGUAACGGCUUACCAAGGCAACGAUGCGUAGCCGACCUGAGAGGGUGAUCGGCCACACUGGAACUGAGACACGGUCCAGACUCCUACGGGAGGCAGCAGUAGGGAAUCUUCCGCAAUGGGCGAAAGCCUGACGGAGCAACGCCGCGUGAGUGAUGAAGGUCUUCGGAUCGUAAAACUCUGUUAUUAGGGAAGAACAAAUGUGUAAGUAACUAUGCACGUCUUGACGGUACCUAAUCAGAAAGCCACGGCUAACUACGUG
rnacentral:rRNA from 1 species